GAAACUCGAUUUAGAGGUUCCUUCAAAUCCAAAAAAUAGUACUAAAUUUUCUUCGAUUGAAAUUCAUGGUAUCGCAACUAUUUAGAUCAUAAACCUUUUUUCGCUAACCAUUCCUGAAAUUAGGAAAUCGAUCCUGGAUUAUUUUCUAUCAUAUUUUGACCAACCAAAAAUUAUUUACACCAUGUGGAAAAAGCAUCAUGUGCAAGAAUUUUAACUCUCGAAGUAUUUGAAAAAUUGCCUCAAAGUAUAUUUCAAAAAUGCUUCACUAACUUCCUUCAUUUGUAUUUUUUGGUAAAAAAAAAAUUUCAAACAAAAAAUCAUUGAACAUUUAAAAAAUAUUUCUCAGAAAAUUGACAGCACCCAUGAAAUUUGAAACUUGUAUUGCUACGAUGAUACUUAAAAUAGAUGGUAAUACAAUAUUUUUACGGCAUAGUCCUAUAUAGUUUCGGAGAUAUAAAUUUUUAAAAUUUUCAUUAGGAACAUAUGAUAUUCAUAAAAUUUAUUUCCAUUGCUAAUUUUAUAUUUUUUUCAUUACGAUCGAGAUGUUUUGCGUUGAAUGUGGGGGGAAUAAUAAACCAAAGUGUAAAAUUUGUAUGUCUUUAUGACUUGUUUCAAGUCGCAAAAUGAAUGUUCAAAUCGAUAUCAACUACUGCAAUAAAUGAAUUGCUUGAAUGUUGUUAGGUCAUUAACAAUUAGAAAUUAAGUACAUUUGUUAAAAAAUCUGAAUCAUCAAAAAAGUUGUUCUCAUAUUUGUUUAUGGAUUGAAUCAUCAUUCUAGAGAAAUACCUAAAAUUUCUGUGGGAACAUUCAUGAUUGCAACAGGUAUAGCUAUAGCUUUCAGGACAUAAUCCAUUUUCAAUAUUUCGAAAUGAUUUCGUGAAAAAUGUGUAAUUUACAUUUCAUGGAGUUUUUCAAUUUACUUGAACUUUUUCUAUAUGGAUAAGAUAAAUUCUGAGGAUGACAAUGUAAAAAAAAAAACAAAAAACAGUCGACAUGAAUUAUCGAUUUUUAAUCGGAAAUAUCGGACACUAUUUCCUAAUGAAUUUGAGUUUACUCAACUUUUCUAAGAAUAGAGAUCAUUUAGAUAUCAUUAGAAUAAAUAGACACUUUCAAAAAUUCAUAUUCAUAUCACGUCUCGAAUAAUUUCACUUUCGUGAUCCGUGGGAUAAUCUCUAGUUUUAAUUAACGAUGCUGUUGAAUUUGUUAUUUGAAAUCACUAUCGCCCGACUGGUUGCGAUAUACAUAUUUUCCAACACUAAUUAUUUUUUAGCAUAUUAUUCUGGGAGCAGAAAGGAUCAAAAAGCAAGACUUCUGACGCCAGUGACGUAAACAAUUUGUAUUUCCAUGAUCCCAAUUUGGUUCAGGCGAAAAACGAUAAUCUUCUAAUACUGAAUAUGAUGAUAAAGAUUCAUGCGUUCAAUUAUUUGUGUCUAUGUACUGCCUAAUCAGGUAAAAUGUCGCGUUAAAUAUUUUGAUUUGAUUUGCCUUAAAAUGAAAGUAUGAAUUAUUCACUAUAUAUUUUUUGUGAAAAAUACUACUAUGUCAAUAAAUACCGAAGAUCUAUCAAUGAUACACAAUAAGUAUUAUCCUUCCAAAUAUCUUGUAUCUUUCAAAGAGGGCCACUUCCGAAACAAUACAAUCCUUUUGAGGAAAAAUCCAAUCAUCAGAAAAAUAUGUAAUGUCACAAAUCUAACAAGAGGUGGGCCAAAUGAAAACAAUCCGAAAAAUUAAUUGAAAUCGAAAUCAAAUAUACAAAAAUGAUAAAAAAAUCAUUCCGAAUUUGAUUCGCUUUCAUUUUCGGUGUCAGUUUGACCAUAACAGCAUUUCUCUAUGGUCGACACCCUAGUGUUAUCAAGUCGCCACAUGAUUUUUUUCAAACAUCCUCUAUGAUGUGUUUUAUGCAUUUCCGACAUUCCUCAGCACCGAUAGAAUGAUUUUCUUCCUUACUAUUCUGUGAAUUGGAUAUACAAAUCAUGAAUUCAUAAUUAUUGAUAUCCACAUUCCGUUCCAAGUACGAUCCUGACAGUCUGUUAGGGAUGAAGGAGGGAUAGGUUUUAUGACCGUUUGACCAAUAACAUUUUCUAAACGCAAACCAUGCGAUUUACUGUGUUUAUAUUGCUCCGUCUUGUUUUUGAACGGACAAAGGACAAAAGUUUAUUCUUUCCACAAUUCUGGUCAUAUUCUAUGAAAUAUGCGCUUCGGCACAAUGAAUUCUUUUGGCAAUACAAAAUUCAACACUGAUUCUUUUGCGGCUCGAUAUUUGAUUUUAGAAAUUGGCAAAAUUGCAAAACACGCCUGAGAUGAACUGAUAAAAAUAGAGAACUCUUAACAACUUAAAUGGUAGAUGAAGUUUAACCAACUCAUCACAAUAGUAAUAUGACAUAUUAGUCCGAAUACGGUUUAGAAAACAUUUUUAUAUCAAAUUGGAAAUAGCUAUUAUAAUUUCCGAGAAAACCUCUGAAAAAUUCACGAUGAAUGACCAGAUUUCUGUAUUAUAACUUCCAACGGAUUUCAUGAAAACUCUAGAAAUUGAAAGGCUGGAAAUAUGCUC